GAUGAACGCUGGCGGCGUGCCUAAUACAUGCAAGUCGAGCGAACAGACGAGGAGCUUGCUCCUCUGACGUUAGCGGCGGACGGGUGAGUAACACGUGGAUAACCUACCUAUAAGACUGGGAUAACUUCGGGAAACCGGAGCUAAUACCGGAUAAUAUAUUGAACCGCAUGGUUCAAUAUUGAAAGACGGUUUUGCUGUCACUUAUAUAUGGAUCCGCGCCGCAUUAGCUAGUUGGUAAGGUAACGGCUUACCAAGGCAACGAUGCGUAGCCGACCUGAGAGGGUGAUCGGCCACACUGGAACUGAGACACGGUCCAGACUCCUACGGGAGGCAGCAGUAGGGAAUCUUCCGCAAUGGGCGAAAGCUUGACGGAGCAACGCCGCGUGAGUGAUGAAGGUCUUCGGAUCGUAAAACUCUGUUAUUAGGGAAGAACAAAUGUGUAAGUAACUAUGCACGUCUUGACGGUACCUAAUCAGAAAGCCACGGCUAACUACGUG
rnacentral:rRNA from 1 species